GGAAGGAAACCGGUGCUUUUUGCAACCAUGGCCAUUCAGACAGCUUUUACCUUCAUUCAAGUGUUCUCCGUCUCAUGGACAAUGUUUACCAUCCUCCUCUUCAUGAACGGUUUGGGACAGAUGUCCAACUUUGUAGGUGCUUUAGUGCUGGGGGCUGAGACCUUGACUGGAAACGUGCGAGUCCUUUCUCGUCUUUGGGCACCUGUUUAGGUUUUGCCGUCGGCUACCUGCUGCUGCCUCUCUUUGCUUACUUUUUGAGGGAUUGGAAAUCUCUCCUGCUGGCUUUGUCUGUGCCAAGUAUGAUCUACCUCCCCCUCUGGUGGUUCAUCCCAGAGUCUCCUCGCUGGCUGCUCUCUCAGGGAAGGGUGGAGGAGGCUGAAGCCAUCGUGAGAAAGGCUGCUAGGUGGAAUAAAGUCCGGGCUCCGAGGGUGAUCUUUGAAGGUUACAGUGU